CCUACGGGGGGCUGCAGUGGGGAAUAUUGGACAAUGGGCGCAAGCCUGAUCCAGCCAUGCCGCGUGAGUGAUGAAGGCCUUCGGGUCGUAAAGCUCUGUGGGAAGGGACGAAAAAACCGGUCCUAAUACGCCCGGUCUUGACGGUACCUUCUUAGCAAGCACCGGCUAACUCCGUGCCAGCAGCCGCGGUAAUACGGAGGGUGCAACCGUUGCUCGGAAUCAUUGGGCGUAGGGCGCGCAAAGGGGGUCCGAAAUCCCUCGGCUCAACCGAGGAAGGGCAUCCGAAACUGCCGGGCUUGAGUACGGAAGAGGGUCUCGGAAUUCCCGGUGUAGAGGUGAAAUUCGUAGAUAUCGGGAGGAACACCAGUGGCGAAGGCGGAGACCUGGGCCGAUACUGACGCUGAGGUGCGAAAGCGUGGGGAGCAAACAGGAUUAGAUACCCCUGUAGUC
rnacentral:rRNA from 1 species